UACGGGGGGGGCAAGCGUUGUUCGGAAUUACUGGGCGUAAAGGGCGCGUAGGCGGCCUCUGCAAGUCGACUGUGAAAUCUCCGGGCUUAACCCGGAAAGGUCAGCCGAUACUGCAGGGCUAGAGUGCAGAAGGGGCAACUGGAAUUCUCGGUGUAGCGGUGAAAUGCGUAGAUAUCGAGAGGAACACCUGCGGCGAAGGCGGGUUGCUGGGCUGACACUGACGCUGACAGCGCGAAAGCUAGGGGAGCGAACGGG
rnacentral:rRNA from 1 species